rnacentral:rRNA from 1 species
AGUCUGCAACUCGCUACAUGAAGCUGGAAUCGCUAGUAAUCGCGAAUCAGAAUGUCGCGGUGAAUACGUUCCCGGGUCUUGUACACACCGCCCGUCACACCAUGGGAGUCGGGAAUGCCCGAAGCCGGUGACCAAACCAAUAAGGAAGGAGCCGUCGAAGGCAGGUCUGAUAACUGGGGUGAAGUCGUAACAAGGUAUC